ensembl:snoRNA
GCACUGCCUUUGAACCCUUGACUCCUGCUGUGGAUUUUUAGGGCCAAGCAGUGGUGCAAAAUUAACGGACUUGUUCUAACUGGGGUGCCUUAGAAUUACAACUAUGGUACUCUUGUAAAGGCAAGUUACAAAC